CCCUGAAAAGGGGGAGGAGGUGGGGCGGGGAAAAGCGCGCCUGGGCGAGGCCGGAAGGAGAAGUAUACCGCAGGAAGGAAAGAAGCUGAGCUAGUGGGGACGUGACUGGGCAUGCGCUCGAGUUACCUGUCCAGCGCGGCCUUGCAAUGAAGCGUGGUUUACUGCUCCCAACACGCACCAGCCCCAGGCCUCCGAUUGGCACCCCCAUGGGCUUCUGGGAGUUGUAGUUUUUCAGAGCCUUCGCCCCCUUGUCCUGAAAUGACCUAUCGCCCACUUCUCACAGCUCCUGGCUUGAGGGGCUCCGCGGCCUCCCGGGCGAUUGGCCGAGUCACGGCUGGGUCUGGCCUCUAAGGCAGGGAACUGAAGGGCAGCCAUCGCGGAGCAGACAGUCGCUACGGCCCUGCCACCGCACAUAAUAGUGGAGCUCCAGGAGUGGGGAAAGAAGAAAAGCUGUCAUGCAAGCAUCCUUGAUGGAGGCUCCGGACGCGCAGGCUCAGCGGCCAUGGCUCACGGGCCUAGCCGCUCCGCGGCAUGUGGGAUCUUCACGGACCGGGGCACGAACUCGUGUUCCCUGCAUCGGCAGGCGGACUCUCAACCACUGCGCCACCAGGGAAGCCCUAGAAAUGCAUUUUAUAAGGGUCAAUUUCUUUGUCAAGUCUCGAGCUGAUGACUGGAUUUUUACACAUAUUUGACAAUACAGUCCAAACACAAUGGAAAUCAACUACAAAGUGAAACUGUACAUCUCACGAAAGAUAAUUUUAUGAGAUUGAUGAAAGAAGGCCAAUGAGCUUAGUCCACAGUGAAAGAGGGGAAAAGACAUUGACGUUGAAGAGAUGCAGCUCCACAUGUAUGAAAUGACACCUGUAUGAAGUUUUUCAUUGUUGCAUUAUUUGUUCAGCAAAAGGUACCUGGUUAAAUAAACGAUGGUAUGAUAAUAAGGAAGAUCUCUAUGUGCUAAUAUGAGAAGAGCUUUAGGAUGUAUUGUUUGCUUCCCAAACCUCACAUGUGUGGUGAAAGCCUUCAAUCAACAGCACCUUCAACGGCUCUCAAGUUGUGCGGGGACCUGACCACAGGUCUCUAGACCAGCCUCCUUCCUCUGCCUACCAGUCUGGGGGAUGCUGUUUAAAUUCAUCCAAGUCCAGACUUCCCAGGUGGCACAGUGGUUAAGAAUCCACCUGCCAAUGCAGGGAACACGGGUUCAAGCCCUGGUCCGGGUAGAUCCCACAUGCCGCGGAGCAACUAAGCCUGUGCGCCAC